rnacentral:rRNA from 1 species
UCAGUCGACUCCUACGGGGAGGCAGCAGUGGGGGGAAUAUUGCACAAUGGGCGCAAGCCUGAUGCAGCCAUGCCGCGUGUGUGAAGAAGGCCUUCGGGUUGUAAAGCACUUUCAGUCGUGAGGAAGGUAGUGUAGUUAAUAGCUGCAUUAUUUGACGUUAGCGACAGAAGAAGCACCGGCUAACUCCGUGCCAGCAGCCGCGGUAAUACGGAGGGUGCGAGCGUUAAUCGGAAUUACUGGGCGUAAAGCGCAUGCAGGUGGUUUGUUAAGUCAGAUGUGAAAGACCCGGGGCUCAACCUCGGAAUAGCAUUUGAAACUGGCAGACUAGAGUACUGUAGAGGGGGGUAGGAAUUUCAGGUGUAGCGGUGAAAUGCGUAGAGAUCUGAAGGAAUACCGGUGGCGAAGGCGGCCCCCUGGACAGAUACUGACACUCAGAUGCGAAAGCGUGGGGAGCAAACAGGAUUAGAUACCCUGGUAG